rnacentral:rRNA from 1 species
CUGGGUGGAUUAGUGGCGAACGGGUGAGUAACACGUGAGUAACCUGCCCUUGACUCUAGGAUAAGCCCGGGAAACUGGGUCUAAUACUGGAUAGGAACGUCUACCGCAUGGUGGAUGUUGGAAAGAAUUUCGGUCAUGGAUGGACUCGCGGCCUAUCAGCUUGUUGGUGAGGUAAUGGCUCACCAAGGCGACGACGGGUAGCCGGCCUGAGAGGGUGACCGGCCACACUGGGACUGAGACACGGCCCAGACUCCUACGGGAGGCAGCAGUGGGGAAUAUUGCACAAUGGGCGAAAGCCUGAUGCAGCGACGCCGCGUGAGGGAUGACGGCCUUCGGGUUGUAAACCUCUUUCAGUAGGGAAGAAGCGAAAGUGACGGUACCUGCAGAAGAAGCACCGGCUAACUACGUGCCAGCAGCCGCGGUAAUACGUAGGGUGCGAGCGUUAUCCGGAAUUAUUGGGCGUAAAGAGCUCGUAGGCGGUUUGUCGCGUCUGUCGUGAAAGUCCGGGGCUUAACCCCGGAUCUGCGGUGGGUACGGGCAGACUAGAGU